rnacentral:rRNA from 1 species
GGCGAAGGCGGCCACCUGGACAGGUACUGACGCUGAGGCGCGAAAGGCGUGGGGAGGCAAACAGGAUUAGAUACCCUGGUAGUCCACGCCGUAAACGAUGGAUGCUAGGUGUUCGGGGAGCGAUCUUCGGUGCCGCAGUUAACGCAUUAAGCAUCCCGCCUGGGGAGUACGGUCGCAAGGCUG